CUCUUAUCCAGAGAGGCGGAGGGACCGGCCCGAUGAUGCCUCGACAACCUGCCAGCGCAAGGUCUGUUUUGCCAAACGCUGAGAAGGUGCCAACUCCGGCAGAUCAAUUUCUGGGAGAUGAGAG
rnacentral:ncRNA from 2 species